UUAAGCGACUAAGCGUACACGGUGGAUGCCCUGGCAGUCAGAGGCGAUGAAGGACGUGCUAAUCUGCGAUAAGCGUCGGUAAGGUGAUAUGAACCGUUAUAACCGGCGAUUUCCGAAUGGGGAAACCCAGUGUGNCACACUAUCAUUAACUGAAUCCAUAGGUUAAUGAGGCGAACCGGGGGAACUGAAACAUCUAAGUACCCCGAGGAAAAGAAAUCAACCGAGAUUCCCCCAGUAGCGGCGAGCGGACGGGGAGCAGCCCAGAGCCUGAAUCAGUGUGUGUGUUAGUGGAAGCGUCUGGAAAGGCGUGCGAUACAGGGUGACAGCCCCGUACACAAAAAUGCACAUAUUGUGAGCUCGAUGAGUAGGGCGGGACACGUGGUAUCCUGUCUGAAUAUGGGGGGCCCAUCCUCCAAGGCUAAAUACUCCUGACUGACCGAUAGUGAACCAGUACCGUGAGGGAAAGGCGAAAAGAACCCCGGCGAGGGGAGUGAAAAAGAACCUGAAACCGUGUACGUACAAGCAGUGGGAGCACGCUUAGGCGUGUGACUGCGUACCUUUUGUAUAAUGGGUCAGCGACUUAUAUUCUGUAGCAAGGUUAACCGAAUAGGGGAGCCGAAGGGAAACCGAGUCUUAACUGGGCGUUAAGUUGCAGGGUAUAGACCCGAAACCCGGUGAUCUAGCCAUGGGCAGGUUGAAGGUUGGGUAACACUAACUGGAGGACCGAACCGACUAAUGUUGAAAAAUUAGCGGAUGACUUGUGGCUGGGGGUGAAAGGCCAAUCAAACCGGGAGAUAGCUGGUUCUCCCCGAAAGCUAUUUAGGUAGCGCCUCGUGAAUUCAUCUCCGGGGGUAGAGCACUGUUUCGGCAAGGGGGUCAUCCCGACUUACCAACCCGAUGCAAACUGCGAAUACCGGAGAAUGUUAUCACGGGAGACACACGGCGGGUGCUAACGUCCGUCGUGAAGAGGGAAACAACCCAGACCGCCAGCUAAGGUCCCAAAGUCAUGGUUAAGUGGGAAACGAUGUGGGAAGGCCCAGACAGCCAGGAUGUUGGCUUAGAAGCAGCCAUCAUUUAAAGAAAGCGUAAUAGCUCACUGGUCGAGUCGGCCUGCGCGGAAGAUGUAACGGGGCUAAACCAUGCACCGAAGCUGCGGCAGCGACGCUUAUGCGUUGUUGGGUAGGGGAGCGUUCUGUAAGCCUGCGAAGGUGUGCUGUGAGGCAUGCUGGAGGUAUCAGAAGUGCGAAUGCUGACAUAAGUAACGAUAAAGCGGGUGAAAAGCCCGCUCGCCGGAAGACCAAGGGUUCCUGUCCAACGUUAAUCGGGGCAGGGUGAGUCGACCCCUAAGGCGAGGCCGAAAGGCGUAGUCGAUGGGAAACAGGUUAAUAUUCCUGUACUUGGUGUUACUGCGAAGGGGGGACGGAGAAGGCUAUGUUGGCCGGGCGACGGUUGUCCCGGUUUAAGCGUGUAGGCUGGUUUUCCAGGCAAAUCCGGAAAAUCAAGGCUGAGGCGUGAUGACGAGGCACUACGGUGCUGAAGCAACAAAUGCCCUGCUUCCAGGAAAAGCCUCUAAGCAUCAGGUAACAUCAAAUCGUACCCCAAACCGACACAGGUGGUCAGGUAGAGAAUACCAAGGCGCUUGAGAGAACUCGGGUGAAGGAACUAGGCAAAAUGGUGCCGUAACUUCGGGAGAAGGCACGCUGAUAUGUAGGUGAAGUCCCUUGCGGAUGGAGCUGAAAUCAGUCGAAGAUACCAGCUGGCUGCAACUGUUUAUUAAAAACACAGCACUGUGCAAACACGAAAGUGGACGUAUACGGUGUGACGCCUGCCCGGUGCCGGAAGGUUAAUUGAUGGGGUCAGCGCAAGCGAAGCUCUUGAUCGAAGCCCCGGUAAACGGCGGCCGUAACUAUAACGGUCCUAAGGUAGCGAAAUUCCUUGUCGGGUAAGUUCCGACCUGCACGAAUGGCGUAAUGAUGGCCAGGCUGUCUCCACCCGAGACUCAGUGAAAUUGAACUCGCUGUGAAGAUGCAGUGUACCCGCGGCAAGACGGAAAGACCCCGUGAACCUUUACUAUAGCUUGACACUGAACAUUGAGCCUUGAUGUGUAGGAUAGGUGGGAGGCUUUGAAGUGUGGACGCCAGUCUGCAUGGAGCCGGCCUUGAAAUACCACCCUUUAAUGUUUGAUGUUCUAACGUGGACCCGUGAUCCGGGUUGCGGACAGUGUCUGGUGGGUAGUUUGACUGGGGCGGUCUCCUCCUAAAGAGUAACGGAGGAGCACGAAGGUUGGCUAAUCCUGGUCGGACAUCAGGAGGUUAGUGCAAUGGCAUAAGCCAGCUUGACUGCGAGCGUGACGGCGCGAGCAGGUGCGAAAGCAGGUCAUAGUGAUCCGGUGGUUCUGAAUGGAAGGGCCAUCGCUCAACGGAUAAAAGGUACUCCGGGGAUAACAGGCUGAUACCGCCCAAGAGUUCAUAUCGACGGCGGUGUUUGGCACCUCGAUGUCGGCUCAUCACAUCCUGGGGCUGAAGUAGGUCCCAAGGGUAUGGCUGUUCGCCAUUUAAAGUGGUACGCGAGCUGGGUUUAGAACGUCGUGAGACAGUUCGGUCCCUAUCUGCCGUGGGCGCUGGAGAACUGAGGGGGGCUGCUCCUAGUACGAGAGGACCGGAGUGGACGCAUCACUGGUGUUCGGGUUGUCAUGCCAAUGGCACUGCCCGGUAGCUAAAUGCGGAAGAGAUAAGUGCUGAAAGCAUCUAAGCACGAAACUUGCCCCGAGAUGAGUUCUCCCUGACCCUUUAAGGGUCCUGAAGGAACGUUGAAGACGACGACGUUGAUAGGCCGGGUGUGUAAGCGCAGCGAUGCGUUGAGCUAACCGGUACUAAUGAACCGUGAGGCUUAACCUU
rnacentral:rRNA from 1 species